GGUUAAGCGACUAAGCGUACACGGUGGAUGCCCUGGCAGUCAGAGGCGAUGAAGGACGUGCUAAUCUGCGAAAAGCGUCGGUAAGGUGAUAUGAACCGUUACAGCCGGCGAUGUCCGAAUGGGGAAACCCAGUGCAAUUCGUUGCACUAUCGUUAACUGAAUACAUAGGUUAACGAGGCGAACCGGGGGAACUGAAACAUCUAAGUACCCCGAGGAAAAGAAAUCAACCGAGAUUCCCCCAGUAGCGGCGAGCGAACGGGGAGCAGCCCGGAGUCUGAAUCAGCUUGUGUGUUAGUGGAAGCGUCUGGAAAGUCGCAGGGUACAGGGUGAUACUCCCGUACACUAAAGCACACAGGUUGUGAACUCGAAGAGUAGGGCGGGACACGUGGUAUCCUGUCUGAAUAUGGGGGGACCAUCCUCCAAGGCUAAAUACUCCUGACUGACCGAUAGUGAACCAGUACCGUGAGGGAAAGGCGAAAAGAACCCCGGCGAGGGGAGUGAAAAAGAACCUGAAACCGUGUACGUACAAGCAGUAGGAGCCCACUUGUUGGGUGACUGCGUACCUUUUGUAUAAUGGGUCAGCGACUUAUAUUCUGUAGCAAGGUUAACCGUAUAGGGGAGCCGCAGGGAAACCGAGUCUUAACUGGGCGUUAAGUUGCAGGGUAUAGACCCGAAACCCGGUGAUCUAGCCAUGGGCAGGUUGAAGGUUGGGUAACACUAACUGGAGGACCGAACCGACUAAUGUUGAAAAAUUAGCGGAUGACUUGUGGCUGGGGGUGAAAGGCCAAUCAAACCGGGAGAUAGCUGGUUCUCCCCGAAAGCUAUUUAGGUAGCGCCUCGUGAACUCAUCUUCGGGGGUAGAGCACUGUUUCGGCUAGGGGGUCAUCCCGACUUACCAACCCGAUGCAAACUACGAAUACCGAAGAAUGUUAUCACGGGAGACACACGGCGGGUGCUAACGUCCGUCGUGAAGAGGGAAACAACCCAGACCGCCAGCUAAGGUCCCAAAGUCAUGGUUAAGUGGGAAACGAUGUGGGAAGGCCCAGACAGCCAGGAUGUUGGCUUAGAAGCAGCCAUCAUUUAAAGAAAGCGUAAUAGCUCACUGGUCGAGUCGGCCUGCGCGGAAGAUGUAACGGGGCUAAACCAUGCACCGAAGCUGCGGCAGCGACACUAUGUGUUGUUGGGUAGGGGAGCGUUCUGUAAGCCGUUGAAGGUGGCCUGUGAGGGUUGCUGGAGGUAUCAGAAGUGCGAAUGCUGACAUAAGUAACGAUAAUGCGGGUGAAAAACCCGCACGCCGGAAGACCAAGGGUUCCUGUCCAACGUUAAUCGGGGCAGGGUGAGUCGACCCCUAAGGCGAGGCCGAAAGGCGUAGUCGAUGGGAAACAGGUUAAUAUUCCUGUACUCGGUGUUACUGCGAAGGGGGGACGGAGAAGGCUAUGUUGGCCGGGCGACGGUUGUCCCGGUUUAAGCAUGUAGGCGGAUGUUCCAGGUAAAUCCGGAACGUCACUAACGCUGAGGUGUGAUGACGAGGCACUACGGUGCUGAAGUGACAAAUGCCCUGCUUCCAGGAAAAGCCUCUAAGCAUCAGGUAACAUCAAAUCGUACCCCAAACCGACACAGGUGGUCAGGUAGAGAAUACCAAGGCGCUUGAGAGAACUCGGGUGAAGGAACUAGGCAAAAUGGUGCCGUAACUUCGGGAGAAGGCACGCUGAUGGUAGGUGAAGUGACUUGCUCAUGGAGCUGAAAUCAGUCGAAGAUACCAGCUGGCUGCAACUGUUUAUUAAAAACACAGCACUGUGCAAACACGAAAGUGGACGUAUACGGUGUGACGCCUGCCCGGUGCCGGAAGGUUAAUUGAUGGGGUUAUCCUCGCGGAGAAGCUCUUGAUCGAAGCCCCGGUAAACGGCGGCCGUAACUAUAACGGUCCUAAGGUAGCGAAAUUCCUUGUCGGGUAAGUUCCGACCUGCACGAAUGGCGUAAUGAUGGCCAGGCUGUCUCCACCCGAGACUCAGUGAAAUUGAACUCGCUGUGAAGAUGCAGUGUACCCGCGGCAAGACGGAAAGACCCCGUGAACCUUUACUAUAGCUUGACACUGAACACUGGUCCUUGAUGUGUAGGAUAGGUGGGAGGCUUUGAAGUGUGGACGCCAGUCUGCAUGGAGCCAUCCUUGAAAUACCACCCUUUAAUGGCUGGUGUUCUAACGUGGGCCCCUAAUCGGGGUUGCGGACAGUGUCUGGUGGGUAGUUUGACUGGGGCGGUCUCCUCCUAAAGAGUAACGGAGGAGCACGAAGGUCAGCUAAUCCUGGUCGGACAUCAGGAGGUUAGUGCAAUGGCAUAAGCUGGCUUGACUGCGAGCGUGACGGCGCGAGCAGGUGCGAAAGCAGGUCAUAGUGAUCCGGUGGUUCUGAAUGGAAGGGCCAUCGCUCAACGGAUAAAAGGUACUCCGGGGAUAACAGGCUGAUACCGCCCAAGAGUUCAUAUCGACGGCGGUGUUUGGCACCUCGAUGUCGGCUCAUCACAUCCUGGGGCUGAAGUAGGUCCCAAGGGUAUGGCUGUUCGCCAUUUAAAGUGGUACGCGAGCUGGGUUUAGAACGUCGUGAGACAGUUCGGUCCCUAUCUGCCGUGGGCGCUGGAGAAUUGAGGGGGGCUGCUCCUAGUACGAGAGGACCGGAGUGGACGCAUCACUGGUGUUCGGGUUGUCAUGCCAAUGGCAUUGCCCGGUAGCUAAAUGCGGAAGAGAUAAGUGCUGAAAGCAUCUAAGCACGAAACUUGCCCCGAGAUGAGUUCUCCCUGACCCUUUAAGGGUCCUGAAGGAACGUUGAAGACGACGACGUUGAUAGGCCGGGUGUGUAAGCGCAGCGAUGCGUUGAGCUAACCGGUACUAAUGAACCGUGAGGCUUAACCUU
rnacentral:rRNA from 1 species